UAGGAGGCGCUCUUAUGGUGGUCACUGCC
rnacentral:piRNA from 1 species